GGAUCAAAUUGUCGGUCGCGCCUCGGUACGCACUGGUAUUACUGGUUCCUACCUUCUGACGAACCAUGAUGUCAUUAAUUUGGUGUCAUGGGGAAUCAGGACUGUUACUUUGAAAAAAUUAGAGUGUUUAAAGCAGGCUCACGCUUGAAUACAUUAGCAUGGAAUAACGAAAUAGGACGUUUGAUUCUAUUUUGUUGGUUUCUAGAGUCGCCGUA
rnacentral:rRNA from 1 species